CUGCUGAAAGACGACUCACCAAUCAAUUCUGAAUUUGUUCUACCUGAUACUGUAACUCCCCCCAUAUCAUUACCUAAUUCAGAAACUGUUCUACCUGAUACUGUAACUCCCCUCAUAUCAUUAUCUAAUUCAGAAACUGUUCUACCUGAUACUGUAACUCCCCUCAUAUCAUUACCUAAUUCAGCCAGUUUAGUACAUAAGAAGCUUAAGCAGUACAUAGGUCAACCAACAGGUGACACAUCAGAGUUGUCCAAUUUAAUAUUUCAAAAUACAGAGACGACAAUUCUGUCUACUCAACCCCUACAGUCUAACUUAAUACAAACGCACACACCGUCUCCAAAACUUCACGUUGAGCUAUCUGUAACAAAUGCUCAGCGUUCCUAUGGAAACACACAUUUACCUACAAGCACUCCACAAAACCCCAGAACCCAAGAAGUUUCCCCAAAAAAAUACUCAAUUACUGAGCCUUCUUUCGUAGACGCCCAGACACCAAGCCUGUGCCUGCUUCCUGUUGACCCCCCAACCCAGACUCUCUCUCAGAUAACAGACCCAUCUCCAGCAGACUUCUCACCGGCGCCGGCGCCUUCACACCCUCUUCUGGAGAAACAUGACAUCCCCAUCGUGGUUGGAGUCGGGGUGUCACUGGCCUUCAUCUUCAUCACCAUGACGUUCUACUCUCUGGUCCCGAAGAACGAGCCUCCUGCAGCAACAGCUCCUACUACCAGUCGAGGAGAUGCCUCUCUCCUCCAACGACUUUGUAAUGUUCGCAUAGACAUUUCUGUCCCAGUCAUCUGCCAUUUCCCCAACCCAUGGAGGGCCGGGAGCACACUAAAUAAAUGUAAAUACGAUCAUUGCUAAUCACCACCAAUAUUUCUUGAACCAUUCCUGCCAGCAGCAUUCCACCUUUGUUUUAUGGGC
rnacentral:lncRNA from 1 species